GAUGAACGCUGGCGGCGUGCCUAAUACAUGCAAGUAGAACGCUGAAGGAAGGAGCUUGCUCUUUCCGGAUGAGUUGCGAACGGGUGAGUAACGCGUAGGUAACCUGCCUGGUAGCGGGGGAUAACUAUUGGAAACGAUAGCUAAUACCGCAUAACAGUAGAUGUUGCAUGACAUCUACUUAAAAGGUGCAAUUGCACCACUACCAGAUGGACCUGCGUUGUAUUAGCUAGUUGGUGAGGUAACGGCUCACCAAGGCGACGAUACAUAGCCGACCUGAGAGGGUGAUCGGCCACACUGGGACUGAGACACGGCCCAGACUCCUACGGGAGGCAGCAGUAGGGAAUCUUCGGCAAUGGACGGAAGUCUGACCGAGCAACGCCGCGUGAGUGAAGAAGGUUUUCGGAUCGUAAAGCUCUGUUGUAAGAGAAGAACGAGUGUGAGAGUGGAAAGUUCACACUGUGACGGUAUCUUACCAGAAAGGGACGGCUAACUACGUG
rnacentral:rRNA from 1 species